GUGGAUGCUCGCCUCCGAGACUAAGCCAUGCAUGCCAGUGAAGACGGGAACGGCGAACGGCUCAGUAAUACUGCGACGAUCCGCCCCGCGCGGCACAUAACCACGGGAAACUGUGGCUAAGAGCGCGGGCCGAGACGCAGCCCCAUCAGCUCGUUGGUGGUGUAACGGACCCCCCAAGGCGGCGACGGGUGACGGGGGAUCGGGGUCCGACUCCGGAGAGGGAGCCUGAGAGAUGGCUCCCACGUCCAAGGACGGCAGCAGGCGCGGAAAUUGCCCACUCCCGCAGGGGGAGGCAGUCACGAGACGUAUGCAGGAGCGCACCGCAAACGCGUGCGCGGACGCGACCGGAGGGCAAGUACGGUGCCAGCAGCCGCGG
rnacentral:rRNA from 1 species